rnacentral:rRNA from 1 species
AACGAACGCUGGCGGCAGGCCUAACACAUGCAAGUCGAACGCCCUAGCAAUAGGGAGUGGCAGACGGGUGAGUAACGCGUGGGAACCUUCCCAAUGGUACGGAAUAGCCCAGGGAAACUUGGAGUAAUACCGUAUACGCCCGAGAGGGGAAAGAUUUAUCGCCAUUGGAUGGGCCCGCGUAGGAUUAGCUAGUUGGUGAGGUAAUGGCUCACCAAGGCGACGAUCCUUAGCUGGUCUGAGAGGACGACCAGCCACACUGGGACUGAGACACGGCCCAGACUCCUACGGGAGGCAGCAGUGGGGAAUAUUGGACAAUGGGCGCAAGCCUGGUCCAGCCAUGCCGCGUGAGUGAUGAAGGCCUUAGGGUUGUAAUGCUCUUUUAGCAGGGAAGAUAAUGACGGUACCUGCAGAAUAAGCCCCGGCUAACUUCGUGCCAGCAGCCGCCGUAAGAC